UUUCUCAUAAGGGUGGACCCUUGGGUACUUGUACCUAUCGCCUUCAGAGGACUGCACAUCCUCACCUUGAGAGGACUACACGUCCUCACCUUGAGAGGACUACACGUCCUCGCCUUGAGAGGACUACACGUCCUCACCAUCAGAGGGCUGCACGCCCUCACCUCCAGAGGACUACACGUCCUCGCCUUGAGAGGGCUACCCGCCCUCGCCUUGGCUACUAGUUACC
rnacentral:lncRNA from 1 species